UACGUAGGUGGCGAGCGUUGUCCGGAAUUACUGGGUGUAAAGGGCGUGUAGGCGGGGAUAUAAGUCAGAUGUGAAAUACCCAGGCUUAACUUGGGAGCUGCAUCUGAAACUAUGUUUCUUGAGUGCCGGAGAGGAAAGCGGAAUUCCCAGUGUAGCGGUGAAAUGCGUAGAUAUUGGGAGGAACACCAGUGGCGAAGGCGGCUUUCUGGACGGUAACUGACGCUGAGGCGCGAAAGCGUGGGGAGCAAACAGG
rnacentral:rRNA from 1 species